rnacentral:misc_RNA from 1 species
AUUUUGAAGGUUCGAUUCCUUUACACUCCCAGCUACUCAGUUGUUGAUUGUUUGAAAUUUUCAUUUUUUUGUUUGGUAGAUCAUGUGUUUAAUAGAGCAUGUUUGCUGAGAUUGCAUAGUCUAGCUGUACUUAUUUUUACUUAAUGUUAUUGUUGCUUCUUUGAUAAUGGAGUGGCCUUUUUUUAAUGUAUUAGUCACUUAAAAUGAGAAGCAUAUAUCAAAAGAACUGCCAGUUUUAAACAGCAUAAUUUGCUUCUUUAGCAUUGUGCUACCUGUCUCCUGGUAAAUUCUCUUAUUUGUCGCUGUAGGUUUGGUUCUAAAUCAGGCUUUGUGAAAUUAAUAGCCUUUAAAAAUUCUAAAUGAACUUGGUUUUCUAGUAUGUGUAAUAAAUGAUGAAUUGUAGUAGGGUCGUGCUUGGCUCUUUCACAGGUUGCCAUGUUUUUGUUCUGCUAAAGACUUGCCAGUUGCCACUCUCAUUUUAUGCGUCCAUUUGUUCUGAUUGACGUUUGACUGAAUAAUCUAUGUUGUCAUUCUGCAUACCAUCCCAA